AUGGGUAACUGCUGGUUUAAAGGGAGUCCGUACUUCAACAGGGUUUCUUCCAAUGCAACAAAGUCAGAAUCUCCAAAAUUGCAGAGCCCGUCAGAGAGAACCGAGAAGGACGAUAGCCUGCUUCCGUCCAACCCACAUGAGGUGGAGGCGCUGCGCAACGAUUCGGCUCGGAAGAAUCCUCUGAUAGCAUUCACGUUCGAGGAGCUCAAGAGAAUCACCAAGAACUUCAGGCAGGACUCUGUGCUAGGGGGAGGUGGCUUUGGCAGGGUCUACAAAGGGUGCGUCACCAAUGAUCUUCGCGAGGGGUUAGCAAUUGAGGAGCCGCUGCGAGUUGCGGUCAAGGUCCAUGAUGGAGACAACAGCUUCCAAGGCCACAGGGAGUGGCUGGCUGAGGUCAUUUUCCUUGGGCAGCUCUCACACCCAAAUCUUGUGAAGUUGGUCGGUUAUUGUUGCGAAGACGAUCACCGGGUUCUCGUUUACGAGUUGAUGCCCCUAGGGAGUGUGGAAUCGCAUCUGUUUUCGAGGGUAAUGCUGCCACUGCCAUGGUCCACCAGAAUGAAGAUCGCACUGGGUGCUGCAAGGGGUCUUGCCUUCCUGCACGAAGCUGAGAAGCCUGUCAUUUACAGGGACUUCAAGACAUCCAACAUAUUGCUCGACGAGGAGUACAACGCAAAGCUCUCUGACUUCGGGCUGGCGAAGGAUGGGCCGGUCGGCGACAAGUCGCACGUCUCGACCCGCAUCAUGGGCACCUACGGCUACGCCGCCCCGGAGUACAUCAUGACAGGGCACCUGACGGCGAUGAGCGACGUGUACAGCUACGGGGUGGUGCUGCUGGAGCUGCUGACGGGGCGCAAGUCGCUGGACAGGUCGAGACCGGUGAGGGAGCAGACGCUGACGGACUGGGCCUUCCCGCUGCUGGCGCACAGGAAGAAGGUGUUGGGCAUCGUCGACCCCAGGCUCGCCGCCGACGACUACCCCGUGAAGGCCGUGCACAAGACGGCCAUGCUCGCCUACCACUGCCUCAGCCGCAACCCCAAGGCCAGGCCGCUCAUGCGUGACAUCGUCGCCACCCUCGAGCCCCUGCAGCAGCAGCCGCAGCCGCAGCCGGAGCUGGUGGUGGAGGUGAGCCCGGCCAACGACUCCGGUGGCGGCGACGGCGUGGGUGUUCGGUGA
rnacentral:rRNA from 1 species